rnacentral:rRNA from 1 species
AUGGCUUCAUCCGGUUCCAUGACGAGGCCAUCGUGUGCUAACCAAGAAGACAUGCCAAACAAGUGGGAGGACGCAUCUUUGGACAAGGUGAAGGAGAAAGAUGUCAACAUCCCGCCAUGUUGGUGUGGAGAUGUUUGCAAGGUGAAGGUGUCCACCGACCGAAAGAAAGCAUGGACGGAAGGGCGGAGAUAUUUUGUAUGCCCGAACUAUGCUUAUGAUUGUGCACUUGCAACUAACGCCUAUGACCAACCACCGGUAAGCUCGAGAAGUAAAAUGUACCGGCAUCUGGGCUGCCUAGGCUUGAACACAUAUGCGGACCGAGCUUGA